GAUAAACGCUGGCGGCGCACAUAAGACAUGCAAGUUGAACGGACUUAAUCGAAAUAUUUAUAUUUUGAAGCGGUUAGUGGCGGACUGGUGAGUAACGCGUAAGGAACCUGCCUAUUAGAGGGGAAUAACAGUGAGAAAUCAUUGCUAAUACCGCAUAUGCCAUAGAUAUCACAUGAUAACAGUGGGAAAGUAGCAAUCCGCUAAUAGAUGGCCUUGCGUCUGAUUAGAUAGUUGGUGGGGUAACGGCCUACCAAGUCGACGAUCAGUAGCCGGACUGAGAGGUUGAACGGCCACAUUGGGACUGAGAUACGGCCCAGACUCCUACGGGAGGCAGCAGUCGGGAAUAUUGCGCAAUGGAGGAAACUCUGACGCAGUGACGCCGCGUAUGGGAAGAAGGUUUUCGGAUUGUAAACUAUUGUCGUUAGGGAAGAGAAAGGACAGUACCUAAGGAGGAAGCUCCGGCUAACUACGUG
rnacentral:rRNA from 1 species